rnacentral:rRNA from 1 species
CCUACGGGAGGCAGCAGUAGGGAAUUUUCGGCAAUGGGGGGAACCCUGACCGAGCAACGCCGCGUGAACGAAGAAGUUAUUCGUAUUGUAAACCUCUUUUGUCAGGGAGCAAAGGGCGCCACGUGUGGCGCUUUGCGAGUACCUGAAGAAAAAGCAUCGGCUAACUCCGUGCCAGCAGCCGCGGUAAUACGGAGGAUGCGAGCGUUAUCCGGAUUUAUUGGGUUUAAAGGGUGCGCAGGCGGAAUGUCAAGUCAGCGGUAAAAUUUCGGGGCUCAACCCCGUCGUGCCGUUGAAACUGGCGUUCUUGAGUGAGCGAGAAGUAUGCGGAAUGCGUGGUGUAGCGGUGAAAUGCAUAGAUAUCACGCAGAACUCCGAUUGCGAAGGCAGCAUACCGGCGCUCAACUGACGCUCAUGCACGAAAGCGUGGGUAUCGAACAGGAUUAGAUACCCCAGUAGUC